UAUUUACUAAUUGAGUAAAUUUAGUACUGUAUUGUAAUUUUAUUUGAUCAUGCCAACUUAACUUAUUAAUACUUCUAUUUUUACUUCAUAAGUUGUAAUUUAGUACACAGAUAGACAACCUUUUUUUUUUAAAAAGUAGCCAGACAUUGAUAGUUUAUAUUUGCAGUUGUUUUCAGAUACAAAGAGACAUGGAUCUGGAUCUGGAUAUCAGUAUAACAAAACAGUUCGCAUCAAAUAUCUAGCAAGACUCAAUAACAUAUGUUCGCACCAGCCUAACUCGAAUGGCCUUCCUAUUGCACAGUGGAGUGAGCUGAGAAGCAAGAACAAACUGACCAGCCAUCAAAGAAGAAGAGCUUGUGAUUCGAAUAGACUAAUAUUGAAAGGUUGCAAUGUGCAAUUGCUUGUAUAAACAUGUGUAUUUAUACUGAAAGCCAUCACUUAUGCUGUGUAAGUAAUCAUCACAGCUGAGUGAAAAAGAAGAAGAGCUGAUAGUUCCAAGACCUGGUAGCCGGCUGAGGGAGAUAAUGCAGAGUCGCAGCAGUAGAAUACUUAUAGAAAGAGAAAAAUUAGAAGAUUAGAGGAUUAGCUUAGUAGAUAAAACCUAGAUUUCUUAUUCAAAUAUAAUACGUUUCCUCUAGGACAGAAAUCGGGAAA